rnacentral:rRNA from 1 species
AUUGCAGGCUGCAACUCGCCUGCAUGAAGUCGGAAUUGCUAGUAAUCGCAGAUCAGCAUGCUGCGGCGAAUACGUUCCCGGGCCUUGUACACACCGCCCGUCAAGCCAUGAAAGCCGGGGGGCGCCUGAAGUCCGUGACCGCGAGGGUCGGCCUAGGGUGAAACCGGGGAUUGGGGCUAAGUCGUAACAAGGUAAC